UACGUAGGGUGCGAGCGUUGUCCGGAAUUACUGGGCGUAAAGCGCACGUAGGCGGGUCGUUAAGUCAGGGGUGAAAUCCUGGAGCUCAACUCCAGAACUGCCCUUGAUACUGGCGAUCUCGAGUUCGGGAGAGGUGAGUGGAACUGCGAGUGUAGAGGUGAAAUUCGUAGAUAUUCGCAAGAACACCAGUGGCGAAGGCGGCUCACUGGCCCGAUACUGACGCUGAGGUGCGAAAGCGUGGGGAGCAAACAGG
rnacentral:rRNA from 1 species